UACAGAGGGUGCAAGCGUUAAUCGGAGUUACUGGGCGUAAAGGGCGCGUAGGUGGUUGUUUAAGUGAGAUGUGAAAGCCCUGGGCUUAACCUAGGAACUGCAUCUUAUACUGGGCAACUGGAGUACUGUAGAGGGUAGUGGAAUUUCCGGUGGAGCGGUGAAAUGCGUAGAGAUCGGAAAGAACACCAACGGCGAAAGCACUCUGCUGGGCCGACACUGACACUGAGAGACGAAAGCUAGGGGAGCGAAUGGG
rnacentral:rRNA from 1 species